rnacentral:rRNA from 1 species
UGGGGAAUCUUGGACAAUGGGCGAAAGCCUGAUCCAGCCAUGCCGCGUGAGUGACGAAGGUCUUCGGAUUGUAAAGCUCUUUUGGCGGGGACGAUAAUGACGGUACCCGCAGAAUAAGCCCCGGCUAACUUCGUGCCAGCAGCCGCGGUAAUACGAAGGGGGCUAGCGUUGUUCGGAAUUACUGGGCGUAAAGCGCACGUAGGCGGAUUUGUAAGUCAGGGGUGAAAUCCCGGGGCUCAACCUCGGAACUGCCCUUGAUACUGCAAAUCUCGAGUCCGAUAGAGGUGAGUGGAAUUCCUAGUGUAGAGGUGAAAUUCGUAGAUAUUAGGAAGAACACCAGUGGCGAAGGCGGCCCACUGGAUCGGUACUGACGCUGAGGUGCGAAAGCGUGGGGAGCAAACAGGAUUAGAUACCCCCGUAGUCCCUGAGCGGGCUGGCAAGGCGCAU